UGGGGAAUAUUGCACAAUGGGCGAAAGCCUGAUGCAGCAACGCCGCGUGAGUGAUGAAGGUCUUCGGAUUGUAAAGCUCUGUCUUUUGGGACGAUAAUGGACGGUACCAAAGGAGGAAGCCACGGCUAACUACGUGCCAGCAGCCGCGGUAAUACGUAGGUGGCGAGCGUUGUCCGGAUUUACUGGGCGUAAAGGGUGCGUAGGCGGAUGUUUAAGUGAGAUGUGAAAUACCCGGGCUUAACUUGGGUGCUGCAUUUCAAACUGGAUAUCUAGAGUGCAGGAGAGGAGAAUGGAAUUCCUAGUGUAGCGGUGAAAUGCGUAGAGAUUAGGAAGAACACCAGUGGCGAAGGCGAUUCUCUGGACUGUAACUGACGCUGAGGCACGAAAGCGUGGGUAGCAAACAGGAUUAGAUACCCUGGGUAGUCCACGCCGUAAACGAUGAGUACUAGGUGUAGGAGGUAUCGACCCCUUCU
rnacentral:rRNA from 1 species